rnacentral:tRNA from 1 species
AGCGCGCAGGCCGAGCAGGAUCAUCGUCAGGCGUCGCCCUCCGAAGGCGAAGAGGCCCGGUUCGAGUCCGGGGCGCGCUG